AGCGGCGGACGGGUGAGUAACGCGUGGGUAACUUGCCUCAUACAGGGGGAUAACAGUUGGAAACGGCUGCUAAUACCGCAUAAGCGCACAGUACCGCAUGGUACGGUGUGAAAAACUCCGGUGGUAUGAGAUGGACCCGCGUCUGAUUAGGUAGUUGGUGGGGUAACGGCCUACCAAGCCGACGAUCAGUAGCCGACCUGAGAGGGUGACCGGCCACAUUGGGACUGAGACACGGCCCAA
rnacentral:rRNA from 1 species